rnacentral:lncRNA from 1 species
GAUAAACACUUAAUUUAAGUAUUUUAAAUUAAGAAAUUAUAUUUAAUUUAUCUUAUUUAUUAAGAAUUUGAUGUUUCUUUCGAUGUUUUACAGGAAAGGUGAUCGCCGAUACAAAGAGUCCGAUUCAUAGAUCAAAAAGAUUCAAGUUUGAAGAAAAUUGGACUUAGAAUAAAAUUAAAAUAAAAGAAAGACGCAUCCGGUAUUAUAGAAAAUGAAGAUACUAUGCAAGGAAUCCAAAAAGGAUAUAGAUGUCAUUAUGAAGGAACUUUUGUUUCUUUUUGGAAUAUA